rnacentral:rRNA from 1 species
UACAGAGGUCCCAAGCGUUGUUCGGAUUCACUGGGCGUAAAGGGUGCGUAGGUGGUCGGAUAAGUUUGAUGUGAAAUCUCCGGGCUUAACCCGGAAAAUGCAUUGAAUACUAUUCGGCUGGAGGUUGGAGGGGGGGGACUGGAAUUCUCGGUGUAGCAGUGAAAUGCGUAGAUAUCGAGAGGAACACCAGUGGCGAAGGCGAGUCCCUGGACAACUCCUGACACUGAGGCACGAAAGCUAGGGAGCAAACAGG